AUUGAACGCUGGCGGAAUGCUUUACACAUGCAAGUCGAGCGGGGAAAAGUAGCUUGCUACUGGACCUAGCGGCGGACGGGUGAGUAAUGCUUAGGAAUCUGCCUAUUAGUGGGGGACGACAUCUCGAAAGGGAUGCUAAUACCGCAUACGUCCUACGGGAGAAAGCAGGGGACCUUCGGGCCUUGCGCUAAUAGAUAAGAAAAAGUCGGAUUAGAUAGUUGGUGGGGUAAAGGCCUACCAAGGCGACGAUCUGUAGCGGGUCUGAGAGGAUGAUCCGCCACACUGGGACUGAGACACGGCCCAGACUCCUACGGGAGGCAGCAGUGGGGAAUAUUGGACAAUGGGGGGAACCCUGAUCCAGCCAUGCCGCGUGUGUGAAGAUGGCCUUUUGGUUGUAAAGCACUUUAAGCGAGGAGGAGGCUACCGAGAUUAAUACUCUUGGAUAGUGGACGUUACUCGCAGAAUAAGCACCGGCUAACUCUGUGCCAGCCGCCGCUGUAA
rnacentral:rRNA from 1 species